rnacentral:lncRNA from 10 species
AAUGCUCUGGCUAUUCAGGGUCUUUUGUUAUUCCAUACUCUGGGCGGCAAGCCACCUAGGAGCCAAGGCAAGAGACCGAGGGCAUGAGCUGUUCCACUAUAGUAAAAUAUGUAAAAACAACAAGAGUUAUACUAGAUCUAGAUCAUAGACAUGAUUACAUAUGAAUAUCAUUAAUCAUUAGUUUGUAGCAAUUACUCUUUAUCCCAAUAUUAUAAUAAUCCUCGCUCUACAAUCAUAACCUAGGAAAAACCAGGCCAUACAGAGACAGGAGGUGAGCGGACAUAGUGAGAAGUGACCAGAAGACAAGAGUGCGAGCCUUCUGUUAUGCCCAGACAGGGCCACUAGAGGGCUCCUUGGUCUAGCGGUAACGCCAGCGUCUGGGAAGACAACCGUUGCCAAGCAGACUGUGGUCUAGCGGUAGCGUCAGUGCCAAGGAAAAACACCCACUACUUAGCAGACUGGGAAAGGGAGUCUGCCUUUCCCCGGGGGAGUUUAGAGAAGACUCUACUCCUCCACCUCUUGUGGAGGGCCUGACAUCAGUCAGGCUCACCCGCAGUUAUCCAGAGGCCUAACCAUCUCCCUGUGAUGCUGUGCUUCAGUGGUCACGCUCCUAGUCCGCUUUCAUGUUCCAUCCUGUACACCUGGCUCUGCCAUUUAGAUAGCAGUAGCAAAAUCAGUGAAAGUACUAAAAGUCCCUGAUAUGCAGAAAUAAUGGCAUAAGCUGUCUCUCUCUCCUUUCUCUGCCUCGGCUGCCAGGCAGGGAAGGGCCCCCUGUCCAGUGGACACAUGACCCAGGGGACCUUACCUAUCAUUG